GGUGCUUGCACGUGGUGGCGAGUGCCCAUACGGGUGAGUAAUACAUCGGAACGUACCUUAUCGCGGGGGAUAACGCACCUUAUGCUGUGCUAAUACCGCAUACUCCCUGUUGGGGAAAGCGGGGGAUCGAAAGACCUCCCGCGAUUAAAGGGGCCGAUGCCUGAUUAUCUUGUUGGUGGGGUAAAAGCCCACCAAGGCGACGAUCAGUAGCUGGUCUGAGAGGACGAUCAGCCACACUGGGACUGAGACACGGCCCAGACUCCUACGGGAGGCAGUCUGGGGAAUUUUGGACAAUGGGGGAAACCCUGAUCCAGCCAUGCCGCGUGAGUGAAGAAGGCCUUCGGGUUGUAAAGCUCUUUUGUCAGGGAAGAAACACCGGCUCUAACACAGUCCGUGAAUGACGGUUCCUGAUCAAUAAGCACCGGCUAACUACGUGCCUCCAGCCGCGGUAAUACGUAGGGUGCGAGCGUUAAUCGGAAUUACUGGGCGUAAAGCGUGCGCAGGCGGUUAUACAAGACAGGCGUGAAAUCCCCGGGCUUAACCUGGGAAUGGCUCCUGUGACUGUAUAGCUAGAGUGUGUCAUACGGUGGUAGAAUUCCACGUGUACCACUGAAAUGCGUAGAUAUGUGGAGGAAUACCUAUGGCGGAGGCAGCCCCCUGUUGUAACACUGACUCUCAUGCACGAAAGCGUGUGGAGCAAACAGGAAUAGAUACCCUGGUAGUCCACGCCUCUAAACGAUGCUGACUAGUUGUGCGGGAUUUACAUCCUGAGCACCGUAUCUAACGCGUGAAGUCUGCCGCCUGGGGAGUACGGUCCCAAGAUAAAACUCAAUGUAAUUGACGGGUACCCGCACA
rnacentral:rRNA from 1 species